rnacentral:rRNA from 1 species
UACGUAGGGGGCAAGCGUUGUCCGGAAUUAUUGGGCGUAAAGAGCUCGUAGGCGGUUUGUCGCGUCGGCUGUGAAAACCUGAGGCUCAACCUCAGGCCUGCAGUCGAUACGGGCAGACUAGAGUCCGGCAGGGGAGACUGGAAUUCCUGGUGUAGCGGUGAAAUGCGCAGAUAUCAGGAGGAACACCGGUGGCGAAGGCGGGUCUCUGGGCCGGAACUGACGCUGAGGAGCGAAAGCGUGGGGAGCGAACAGG